CGCUUGCAGAUUGAAUAAUACAAGCUAUAGAAAGAUGAGUAGGGAUCAUCAGACUGAUUUACCACAGGUACAAAACGGUAGUAGCGUGCAGAAUUACGGUAACGCGUUGGACAUUUACCCGCUGAACUGCUACUAUUUUGGCUCCAAAGAAGCUGUUCCGUUUAAGGACGAGACCACGUCCGAUCGUAUCCUUCGAAUGAAAUUCAACUAUGAUGCUCAUGGAUUAAGGACCUGUGUGCAAGCUGUAAUGCUGGUCAGAACUCCAUUUAACUCUUGCAUUUUUAACUUCUCCUUUUACAAUUGCUUGUGAAUUUUUGAUAGACCUUGUUAAGUGAUCGAUACAGCUGAUGUAUUUUGUGGUUUUUGCAUUUUCUUAACUUACCCAAUGAUUUUUUUUUUUCAUUUUCUACUUACAGCUGAUGUAUUUCGUGAUUUUUGUUAAGUGAUCGAGGUGAAUAUUUUUUUUGUCCCCGGGAGAGGGGGGGGGGGGCGCGACGGGAAGAUUGAGAUUUUACUCUUAUUUAGCUUGAGAUACUAUCUGAGAUUUCGUUGGCUAAUGUUUGGAUGUUCUGUGAAUAAGAAUGAAGGAAUAAUUUUAAUGUAAUAAUAAUAAUAAAAAAUUUAAUGUAAUAAGGGGUCAUGCCUGGUAAAAUUUUUGCAAAUAUUACUAACAUUACUCUUUCUGAAAACAGACUUUAUUCCGACAAAAUCAUGUUAAAAAUCUGCGGCAUUGAGGAAGGAUUUGAUAUGGAGUUGGCGGGUAAAGGAAUUUAAGAAACAAAAAGGAAAAUAGAACAAAGUGAGAAGAAGGUGAUACUGUCAGCAAAAUUAGUUCUGUCUGUUAUCAAGCAUUUUCGCUUAUGUUGGUGAGGUUACAAGUUCUAUCCUGAGAAAACCUACCCCAUCUAGUGGCCUAUUUAUCAGCUUGACUGUUGAAUGGCCGGUGGAAAGUUGACCUAUGCUGAAAUUUAAGCAUUGAUUGGAGUAUCUCUUUGUUUUUUAUACAAGAUGUCAUGGUGUUUGGCCCUGUGAGAUCGAUUAACUGUAAUGGUUUAUAUAUGUGAACCAACAACUAAAUGGAGGCACUCGUUAGAAAAAAUCAUAUCCAAAUAGACAAGUAUUAGGCUUUAUUCAUAGCUGAACAUCAGAACCGCACCAAGUCUUUCGCACUAAAGUUUGUGUUUCUGAUCUUCACUUCCCAGUAUCAAUGAAAGAUUGAGGCUCAAUCUGUUUUUAAGUGUCCUUAGUUGGUUAGCGCCAUUAUAAUGAUCUUUCAACUUUUCUUUGGUUCACUAGAAGCAACAGAUUAUGGCUUUCCUACAAUUUCUUCUACUUCUAAUUUUGAGGAAAAAUGUGGUAACAUCCUAUGUUGAUAUCUUGUUAUAUACACCUGUGUGAGGAAACAAGUUUUAGAGGCCCAUUGAUGAAUUGGGGGUAGCAGUCCUCAGCUUGAUUGAGCCUUUUUUCAGUUAAUAAACUGGCUGUUGUCAAGCCUGAUGUCCUAGCAUGUUCUAUAGAUAUACUUGAAAUUAAAAUUGUUGUUGGACCUGUUUAUUACGAUCUGAAUAUCUCUCAGGACUAAAAGGGGUUGAGCUACAAUUAGGAGGAUUUGGAAUUUUCUUUGCAAAUACCGUAGGUCAAAAUGCUGGUUUAGGAAAUGAUAGUCUGCACCCCUGUGGAAUAAUAGAGUUCAUAGUUAAUGUCUCCAUCAGUGUAUGAUUCCUAUAUGUAUAGUGCAAUUUGUAGUUUCUAUGAAUGCGAGAGAUGGAGUAUGAGGCCAUUUACUUUCCCUGACCUAGAUUACUUGUGUAAUUAGUUCUUUUAUUGAUGAAUAGAUAAAGUAACUGUUACAGGUUGAAUUGUUCAAGCACCCCCACGUAUUGCUGUUGCAAGCACGGAACUCGAUCUAUAAGCUUCCAGGUGGUCGUUUGAGGACAGGUGAAUCAGGUAUGUGCUUUGUUCUGGGAUAUUCUGUUAACUCUAGUUAUGCAUAUAUGGAGAUCAAAGCUUGACCUAAAAUCGUCAUAUUUGCAAGGGUUAUAUGUAUAAUUUUGUUAUGCUCUAGAUAUACAAUGCUUAAAGCGCAAACUCUCAAGCAAGUUAUCUGCUGUUGGAGAUUGUAGUGCGCCUGAUUGGGAGGUGGGUGAAUGCCUUGGUAUGUGGUGGAGGCCUGAUUUUGAUGCAUUACUUUAUCCCUAUCUGCCACCUAAUAUAAAAAGGCCAAAGGAAUGCACAAAACUCUUUCUUGUGAAGUUGCCUGAGAGUCAGAAAUUCACUGUACCAAGGAAUCUCAAGCUUCUUGCAGUACCUCUAUGUCAACUUCAUGAAAACCACAAGACUUACGGACCAAUAAUAUCAGGAGUACCGCAGCUGCUAUCCAAAUUCUCCUUCAACAUCAUAGAGAGCUGAAAUUUUUGCACUAGAAAUUUCCUUGAUAUAGUGUGGCAGCAAUUAGAAACUACAUCAUAGGAUUAUGACAUACAGUUAUACAAAUCACUUGUACAUGUGAACUGGAUCUCUUUUUUUUUUGUUUUGUUUUUUUCCCACUCUCUUUCUUGUCAAUAUGUAUUUAUGGACGGUCUCAGACUCUUGUAUUGCUCCGUUCUCCUGCAUAAUGCUAUAGACUGAGUUUAAGAUUUGUUCUUUUUCUAAAGUUCAUAGUUGCAACAGAAGAAGUGGAAUUUAUGAGCAUGUGAAAGAACAUGCUCAUCAACAUAACAUACAAUGCACCAAGAUGUUUCAUCGUCGUCAUGUGCCGCGCACGUGAGCUGUGUAAGUCUGCGCUUCUCCAAAUGCUCCAUUGGAAUGGUUCGGGUAAUUGGGUCGCCCAUGGGUUUUCUGCUUUGGAAUGGAUGGCCGUACUAGUUCCUUUCCUUUCCCAGCUCUCACAGCUGCAUUGUCCAGAGCUAACAGCAGAGCUUUCUCAAGAAUGGUAAUUGGUGUGAUUUAUCAUGGCUGUGUCUUCCGAUGUCAUCCGAAUUCCAAGACGGGUUGGUUGUGCCCUUUUUUCCUAGGGUUUUCUCAUCUGCUUUUUUCAUUUCCAUUUUCUGAAAUUGGUUGUGCCCUUGAACCUGUUCCCCUUUUUGAGCUCCUUCCUCUCACCGCCUUCUCUGGCCAGCUUGCUUGCGAGCUUGGUUUCAUCUUCUUUGUGCGUUUUAAGCCCGGUCUCCCCGAAUUUCUUUUACUGGUGCAUUUUUCAUCUGCUUUUUUGCAGCGUAUCCUUUUUUCCUUUGAUUUUGCUUUUCUCGUUGGGUUGUGAAGGCCACCGAAUUUCUCAUUUUCUCUUAAAUGUGGUCUCAAACAACCUUUUCCAUUCCAAAUCUGGGCGGCUCCGCAGAACCCUAAUCCACAGUUAAGGAGGGAAAACGUAAGAAGAAUCAGCAGCGAUGGCGGUGCCUUUGCUUUCGAAGAAGACAGUGAAGAAAAGGGUCAAGAAGUUCAAGCAACCCCAGAGCGACCGAAAAAUCUCCGUCAAGGUUAUUUUACUGGUUUUCAUCCUAGCCUUGUGCAUUCGGCUUUGGAGCAAAGGAAUGGCUACUGCUACUCCUUCGGGUGUUGGUAUUGCCUCCCGCGUGAUCUCUCCCUGUCGAUCCAUCUCUCAUCUAUUGUGCUUGUUUCUCCUGAUGUUGAAGCAAACCUCCUUGAUAGUCGGUUAGCGAUGUUUCUUUUGUUAAUUUUCCUCCAUUGCGCCGUUGUCUCGUCUUGAUGCAUAUAUUCUCGCUUUCUUUUCUGAUUUAGGUGUAAUGAUAAUGUCUGUAAGUUGGUUCGUUUGGUUUUUGAGGGGUGUGCAUAUGCAAACCCUGCUGUCUUGCACCCCCCUGUUCAUGAUUCGACUAUUACUCCCAUCUAUCAUGUUCUGUCCUAUGAUGCGUUUGUUAGUGCCUUUGCUAUUUCUUGAUGCUUUGGUAUACUUUAUUUUUUCAGGUACUGCCUUUGUUUAUAUUUGUUCUUGUUUGAUAAUGCUUUUGUUUGGAUAUCAUGAUUGGGAAACUGCAUGGAUUAAGGGUCGUGUAGAAGUUGCUUGGCCAUUGUUCACUUUUGGCAUAUGGCCUGUCCUCAUUGUUAUGAGCUAUAUGAUUUUUCUGCCACCCUUGGAAUUCUAUACCUUGCUUCAGGUCAGGGAAUGUAUGAUUUCCCUAGGUGCAUUGUGGAUUUGUUAUUAGUUAUUAGUUUUUAAAAAACCUAUGUAUUCCUUGGUUUCCUUUUUUUUUGGUGGUUAAUGUUAUUUUUGUUAUAGAGCAUGGAUCUGGCUCACUUUUCAUGAUGAUACUGGGUGUGUAAACGUUAUUGCAUUAGGUGUCGAAGCUGAGAAACUAGUUGGUGUUAGCGCGCUUGACAUGUUUGAGGCUGCUGACGAUGAGGCUAUGUGUUGCUCUAUUCUCAUGCAUAGAUACCUGAACUUGGAGAUUUGCAUAGAUACCUGAGCUGACGAUGAGGCUAUGUGUGGCCAGGCCUUUAAGUCGUACCAUCGUGUGGCUUGUCGAAUUGAACGAACCAGGCUCCUAUGCUAUUUUAAGCGUUCAUCCGAUGUGAUCAACAAAGUGACGUGCACUAAAUACGCUGUUGUUGCUUGCUAGCCAGUUUAGAGAGGUUGUUUUUGGAUGCUUAUUUCUUGUGCAAAUUUUGUCAGCUCGUGAACUUCUUUGAGCUUGUAGCGGCGUCGGUAUUAGUUUUGAGGCUUAUAUGCUGUUGAUACUAAUACUUCCUCCGUCCCACUUUGAUAGUCCUGAAUUCCUUUUUCAUCUGUUUCAAAUUGUAGUUCAUUUUUCAAUUGAAAAAUGUAGUUGUAUUUUAAUUUUUCUAAAAUACCAUUAUUCAAUGUAAGUAGUUGUUAUUAUAAAUCUAU